rnacentral:lncRNA from 1 species
AGGCUGAAUCUCUUUCAAAUGUUCUAAAGCCGAUGAAUUAGAACCUUUUUUCAUUUGGCUCAAUCCAUGAGAGAUGCAAAGCUUAGCAUGACUCAAAUGGGAAACACCAGAAGUCACAGAAUUCAGCAGCUCUAGCAAAUUCAAGGUAUAAUCCAAGUACUCCUCAACUUGUGAUUUUCCCCAUCUGUUUAUUGGGUGGUCUAUUUCAACCACAAGCUUUGCAAAAGCUCUAUGAAUCAUUGGAAUUGCUUCAAGGCACUUCUGAAUCCAGGCCAUGGACAAGAACUGGAAUUCUGGUUCUGUCCCGAGUUCUGGAAUUGGCAAGACUUUGUUCAAGAUUUUCGAUACAUCGGAUCGAAAAACUUGCAAAGUAGAAGCCAACAGGGCUUCUGAAUUGUGAUGUUGAUUCUCCAGCCUGUUGGGAUGUUUCAGAAAAUGGCUAAUCUUUUCAACCAAGAGUACCAUGUCAAAAAAGAACAAUGAAAGGGAGGUUCUUUUUCUUUUGAAAGAAAAAGGGGAAAGGGGGUGGUUGGGGUUGGUUGGCUUUUUGAUUGUUUGAUUUUUGGUCAGUAUUUUGGUUCAUUAUAUAGUAUAUAGGUGUGUAAGGUUCUGCAAAACGUGGGCACAAGUUGACAAGUUGUCUUUGCUUUCAGGUGAGCCAUGAAACAGCAGAAUAGCAAAUUUCCGCGGCUAUUGUGGGAGCUGUUUGCUAGUGUUCAAGUAAAACGAGUAGGAAAAUGCAAAAUAUAAGAGCACAAUAUUCACGCUUUAAAAAAUAAAAAGUCUAUACUCGUUUCAAAUUAUGCAAAUAAGAUUCUUGUUCUCUUUAUCAGUCAAUAGAUUUAGUGACAACAGUUUAUUAUGUACUCUUACAAUUUGAAGUUCUUAACCUUAGAGGAUUUACAAAGA